rnacentral:rRNA from 1 species
GAAGGUGGCAAGCGUUGUUCGGAAUCAUUGGGCUUAAAGCGCACGUAGGGCGGACUGGAAAGUGUCUUGUGAAAACCCACGGGCUUAACCGUGGAAUUGCUUGGCAAACUAUCAGUCUUGAGGCAAGUAGGGGUACAUGGAACUCUUAGUGGAGCGGUGGAAUGCGUAGAUAUUAAGAGGAACGCCAAUGGUGAAGACAGUGUACUGGGCUUGUACUGACGCUGAGGUGCGAAAGCGUGGGGAGCGAACGGGAUUAGAUACCCCGGUAGUCCACGCCGUAAACGAUGUCUACUAGAUCGUGGGAGUUCUGACACUUUCACGGUCGAAGCAAAAGUGAUAAGUAGACCGCCUGGGGAGUACGGUCGCAAGGCUA